GAUGAAGAACGCAGCGAAAUGCGAUAAGUAAUGUGAAUUGCAGAAUUCCGUGAAUCAUCGAAUCUUUGAACGCACAUUGCGCCCCCUGGUAUUCCGGGGGGCAUGCCUGUCCGAGCGUCAUUGCAACCUUCAAGCGCGGCUUGUGUGUUGGGUCUCGUCCCCCGUGGACGGGCCCGAAAGGCAGUGGCGGCGUCCCGACAUGGUGCCCGAGCGUAUGGGAAUCCUCUUCCGCUCGAAUCGGCCCAUGCGGCGCUGGUCGUAAACAAAUUUUUUACCGGUUGACCUCGGAUCAGGUAGGGAUACCCGCUGAACUUAAGCAUAUCAAUAAGCGGAGGA
rnacentral:misc_RNA from 1 species